AUUGAACGCUGGCGGCAGGCCUAACACAUGCAAGUCGAACGGUAACAGGAAGCAGCUUGCUGCUUUGCUGACGAGUGGCGGGCGGGUGGGUAAUGUCUGGGAAACUGCCCGAUGGAGGGGGAUAACUACUGGAAACGGUAGCUAAUACCGCAUAACGUCGCAAGACCAAAGAGGGGGACCUUAGGGCCUCUUGCCAUCGGAUGUGCCCAGAUGGGAUUUGCUAGUAGGUGGGGUAACGGCUCACCUAGGCGACGAUCCCUAGCUGGUCUGAGAGCAUGACCAGCGACACUGGAACUGAGACACGGUCCAGAGUCUUACGGGAGGCAGCAGUGGGGAAUAUUGCACAAAGGGCGGAAGCCUGAUGCAGCCAUGCCGCGUGUAUGAAGAAGGCCUUCGGGUUGUAAAGUACUUUUAGCGGGGAGGAAGGGAGUAAAGUUAAUACCUUCUCUCAUUGACGUUACCCGCAGAAGAAGCACCGGCUAACUCCGUG
rnacentral:rRNA from 1 species